UGGGGAAUCUUGGACAAUGGGCGCAAGCCUGAUCCAGCCAUGCCGCGUGAGUGAAGAAGGCCUUCGGGUUGUAAAGCUCUUUUGUCAGGGACGAUAAUGACGGUACCUGAAGAAUAAGCCCCGGCAAACUUCGUGCCAGCAGCCGCGGUAAUACGAAGGGGGCUAGCGUUGUUCGGAAUUACUGGGCGUAAAGCGCACGUAGGCUGAUUGUUAAGUCAGGGGUGAAAUCCCAGAGCUCAACUCUGGAACUGCCCUUGAUACUGGCAAUCUCGAGUCCGGAAGAGGUUAGUGGAAUUCCCAGUGUAGAGGUGAAAUUCGUAGAUAUUGGGAAGAACACCAGUGGCGAAGGCGGCUAACUGGUCCGGUACUGACGCUGAGGUGCGAAAGCGUGGGGAGCAAACAGGAUUAGAUACCCAAGUAGUCCCUGAGCGGGCUGGCAAGGCGCAU
rnacentral:rRNA from 1 species